AUGGGUAAUAUACCCACAAGUAUGGGACAGCUGUCUCAGUUAAAGGUGCUCGAUCUUUCAUCAAACAAACUUGAAGGGGAGCUUCCAAGUAAACUAGGCAAUGUAAAAAGUCUGUUCCAUUUGAGCCUCGCUGAUAAUUUGCUCUAUGGUAGCAUUCCACAAGAAAUUGGAGCAUUGUACAAUCUAGAGAUCCUAGAUUUGUCAUCAAAUAACCUAAGUGGAUCGAUAAAAGGUUCAAUUGAACAUUGUCUCAAGCUUCGCUUUUUGAAGUUGAGUCAUAAUAACUUUGAAGGAAACAUCCCUACCGAGCUAGGCGUGGUGUCAAGCUUACAAGGCAUGUUGGAUUUAAGUGACAAUUCAUUUGUUGGGGCGAUACCAAGCCAACUUAGUGGCCUGAGCAUGCUAGAUACUUUGAAUCUUUCACGCAAUGAAUUGAAUGGCUCAAUUCCAGCAUCAUUUGGGAGCAUGGAAAGCUUAACAUCCAUUGAUGUAUCUUAUAAUGAAUUGGAAGGACCGAUCCCAGAGAGUAGGCUUUUCCUGAGAGCUCCACUCGAGUGUUUCAUGCAUAAUAAGAUGUUAUGUGGUGUAGUGAAAGGACUGCCCCCCUGUAGUAGUGCAACUCAGAGCGAAGGACAACGGACACCUUAUGGAAAAAUUGUACUAGCCACAGUCUCUAUUUUGAUAUCUCUUGUUCUUGUCGUAGCUAUACUUAAAUUCCGGCAUGAAAGGAAGAAAUCAAAGGCAACUUCCACUGAUAAUGUAACACAAUUAGCAAGCAUGUUCUCUGUUUGGAGCUUUGAUGGGACAAAUGUGUUCAAGCAAAUUGCUGAGGCAACUGACAAUUUUAGCGAGGUACAUUGCAUUGGAACCGGAGGAUAUGGGUCUGUGUACAAAGCUAGACUUGCAACAUGUGAAAUAUUUGCAGUGAAGAAGAUACGCAUAAUAGAAGAUGAGUAUGGCAUCAAUGAGUCAAUGUUCAAUCGCGAGAUCGGGGCAUUGGUGCAGAUUCGACAUCGAAACAUCGUAAAACUAUUUGGGCAUUGUUCCUCAAGCCAAGGCAGAUUUCUUAUCUAUGAAUACAUGGAGAGAGGAAACUUGGCAGAAACACUUAGAGCCAACAAAAGGGCAAUUGAAUUGGACUGGAAAAGGCGGGUAAAUAUCGUGUUGGACGUGGUUCAUGCUUUGGCAUACAUGCAUCAUGAUUGUCCAUCACCAAUAGUUCACCGAGAUAUAACAAGCAACAACAUUUUGCUUGAUGUGGAAUUUAGAGCUUGCAUCUCUGAUUUUGGUACGGCUAAAAUCCUCAAUGUUAGUGGCCCGAAUAUCACAAGCCUUGCUGGUACAAAAGGCUAUCUUGCUCCAGAGCUAGCGUACACAGAGAAUGUGACGGAGAAAUGUGAUGUAUAUAGCUUCGGAGUGCUCGUUAUUGAGCUUUUUUUGGGAUCCCAUCCAGGCGAUUUGCUCUCAUCUAUCUACUUGACAACCAACAAGAAUGAUCUGUGUCUGAAGGAUCUGCUGGACUCCAGGCUCGAGCUUCCGGGCGCUGAAACCGCUAGAGAAAUAUACAACAUGCUCAGCAUUGCAGUUCAGUGCCUAGACCCUAACCCAUCACACAGACCAACAACACGGCGUGCUAGUGAUGAGCUAUCUUCUGGGAACCAAAGAUGUGACGGUCAUCAUGUUGAUUAUCUACACGCCAACCUCACCAUUCCUACCUAG
rnacentral:rRNA from 1 species